UCCCAUGUGGCUCAGUUGGUAGAGCAUGGUGUUUGCAACGCCAGGGUUAUGGGUUCGAUUCCCACAGUGGAC
rnacentral:tRNA from 1 species